ACCUAGCCCUGAUGGGAGGGAAAAUCCUUUUGUGCCCCUCGCGAUAGCUAUCGGGAGGCACAAAAGAUUUGGAAGGACAGCAAGAAACAGC
rnacentral:sRNA from 1 species